rnacentral:lncRNA from 1 species
GAUAGUUUCAGCUAACUGCUUGAAUUCCGGAUCACGAGUAAUCUUUAGGAUAGUAAGAGGUGACGGUUUUGAACCAGCUUCAAGGCCGUAUUUCUCAAAAAACUGACGAAGACGGCCAACCUUUUGAGCAAGUUCCGGAUCAUUAACAACUAAUGAACUCAUUUUCUCUUCAAGUUUCUGGACUUGCUCAUCCAUUACUGGAUCCUUGAAAAUAGUGUCGUCAGGUUGCGUAGUCGCACUUCUCUUCCAUGUUAAUAUACUAGGAAACCUAUUCCUAUACAGAAGAGCAUUGUUGUAUGUAAGAGGCCUUCUGAUAGUCAGCUGAGACAAAUACUUCCAAUAUUUCAUAUUUGUAAGGUGGUGGUUAAUUUUGUGUUCUAAAGAAGUAUGAGGGAUUAGGGAAUGUGUCGCUCAGAUAAGCUUGCUGCGGCAAAUUAAUACAAACUCUAAACGAAAUGAAAUCUUUGUUUUGGAUACGUAUUAUUCACUCAUAAUUCUAAAAUUUUGACUGGCAAUAUAAUACUUUGAUUCUUCCUGUUGUAGAACUAUAUUGUCUCUUAAAGGAAGUUAGUAGAGGAUCUUAGUACAAGAAGGUAAAUACAAUAAAAACUGACAUACGAAAAUACAUGAGGUUUUUUUCCAUCGAAACGUAUUGUUCCUGAAACAACAAUUAUGAUAUUCAUAUCAUUACCCAUGACCUGUUGACUAUCGAAAUCCUCAACUUUAGUUUUGGAGUAUGGAAGAUUAACUAUCAUAGAGGUAAAUUCGGUUACUUGCAUGGGUUUUCCAUUCCAUAAGAUCAAACUAUUUUCUCUGUAAAAUUCUGCGAUCCCAUUUCUGUUCGUAUCAAGAGAUGAGUAAUACCGUUGGACGAACUCCUGCGCAUCUUUAAUUGUUAGUUUAUAGAUAAAGCUUUAGUAAUGCGGCAUUUAACAUACAUUUUACACUCGACUCCAUAAUGAUUCACAAUGACAGAAAUUUGUAGUGGUGUAAGUAGUCAUUUAAACAGGUACAUGUGUUAUAAAUUGAAAUAUUGUACUCAUUAAGCGAUAUUUAAAGAUAAUCUUUGUUCAACACACUGAAUGGAUAUUUCGGCUAGAUAUCUUUAUGACUACGAUUUUUACUUAUAACAUGAAGAGUGGAGAACAAUUAUGUGUACUCAUUUGCCAUACUACAAAAGCAUAGAUCACGUAAAAACUCAACGAAUGAUUAAUAUAUUAGUAAAAAAAUAUAUAUUCGAAUGUAACAUGAUAACUCGAAAGACAAUUUGUUGUAAAUGAAAACAAAAAAUAAAUAUAUGUUCGAAGAAAUAGGUCAUUAAAAGCCAUGGUAUGGCAAGCGAAGAAGAUGGGAGAAUAAGUGGUUUAAAGCUGAAUCAACAUUUUUUUGACUCAGAAAUGCAUUGGAAACAAAAUGCUUUUUUACAAGUGCUGGAAGAAUGAGGGUUCUGAGUGCUACUUCCUGAGAACGAAGUUUGUUGACUUAAAGGUUGAAAACCAAGAUUAAAAUGAUGGGUAGAAAGAUUAGGUCGAGGGGAUAUCAUUGAAAUUAAUGAAAUAAAGUUUCUUCGUUUUGUAGAAUUGGAGUUUCGGACUUUUGACUUAGAAAAAGAUCUACGUAAAGGAGUUUUAGGAGAUGAUAAUAAAGGGUUCCUUCUUCUCGGUGAAGAUAAAGUAUCAGAGAUGACGUGCAAAAUCUCAUUUUGUUCUAUGCUUUUAUGCUUGAUUGUAUCCAAACCACGCUGAUCUGUUAAUGUUCCUGAUGAGUUUGGCAACAGACAAGAUUUUUUUUCCAAAGCUGAAGCAUCAACUUUUCUUGUUUUAUCAUUGAUUUUUAGUCUCACGCAUGACUGAGAGGGUAUAGUUUCAUUACAAACAUUUUCCACAAAAAGUGAAGCUAAAGGAACUUCAUCUGCAAACACACAAUCUGACACCAUUUCAUCACGAAGUGAUAGAUUUUUAAAUUUAUAGAUCUGGGGAGACUGAAAAUCCUCUAUAUGGACUGGUGAAACAGCUUUUUCCCCUGGGUUGCCAAUGCUUGAGUCUAAUUUUUUUUCGUAUCCAUUUGACGCUGAGAUUUCAAGGUUGUUAAAUGUAGGAUCCCAUAUAUCAUCUUUUGUUUUUAAAGCUUCUAGAUGUCCAUUAUUAACAAUAAUUUCACCAGUUGCAAGAUCUACUUCAUCAGCUAUAUCAGAAGUGUCGCGUCCAUAUUUUUUGAAAAGAGAUUCCAAAAAGUCGUUGUACUUCUUUUCGGACUCAAUUCUUUUACAAAACACAUCAUCACAAGCCGUAGGAUUAGUAUUAAAUUCGACAGACUGAAAAGACAACAGAUGUGGACAAGAAUAGUUUGGAGGCAGGUCAACGGCUUUCGGUUGACGAUUGCACAUGAUUGAAAGUUAAAAUCAUUUGGUAUUGAG